GACGAACCGAGCGAACGUUGUUCGGAAUCACUGGGCUUAAAGGGCGCGUAGGCGGGUGCGCAAGUCCGGGGUGAAAUCCUCCAGCUCAACUGGAGAACUGCCUCGGAUACUGGGUGUCUCGAGUGUGGUAGGGGUAUGCGGAACUAUCGGUGGAGCGGUGAAAUGCGUUGAUAUCGAUAGGAACUCCGGUGGCGAAGGCGGCAUACUGGACCACUUCUGACGCUGAGGCGCGAAAGCCAGGGGAGCAAACGGG
rnacentral:rRNA from 1 species